rnacentral:rRNA from 1 species
CCGGAUGAUGCCCCGGAAGCCCGGGCGGGCCGUCUCUGCGUCACGCUGCUCGCCCGCGGGCGCCCGCCCUUGCGCGCACGUCUUGGCGCCGGGUUGCCAGCGGUGUCCGGCUAGCAGGGACCGCCGCGGGGGGUGCAACCAUUUCCUGAGCCGUCCGCCCCCUCCCGGGUGCGCG